CCUACUCCAGUCUUAUCUCUUCCUGCAUGCAUCUCUCCUUUUUCAUCCUCUUUAUGUGCUGGUUUUGCACGGGAGAUUGGGGUCUAUUUUCAGCUUCGUCUUCUGCUGAUAUUUUCAUUUCUCUCUCUCAUCACAGGGAUCUUCUCUUUUCAGACCAUGACGAGGUUGUUGGCCUCAGCUUCGAUUUGCAACGGUGGGCUGGCGUGGGAACCUAUUAUGUAACUUUCUAUUGCUAUUCCUAAGUAUAUACUCUUUCUUUGCUAUUGAUUCUUGCAUAUAAUUGAAAGAAAAAACGGCAUAGGCGAGAUAACAGAGUCAGUGAGAGCCUCCUCCAAGACCAAAAUUUGAUAUAACAAGGGAGAUUGGGGACUUUAGCGAAUGAUUGACUCGCUGGUGAUAGACAAGGGUUAUGAUAGACCUUGUAAAGUCGACAAGAUUUCAAUAUCAAACAGAGAAUCACAAAUCAAAGACAUGGAGAGUGAGUAAGUGAGAACUAUCUAGAGAGUAUGAUGAUCCAUGUUUUUGAAUGGAAGGACCAAAUCUACAACUCCCCAAUGAAUUACUUGUAUGAAAAUUUAAUACGAGGAAACCCAUGUGGAAGACGAAGAAGGAUAUGUUGAGAAGUCCCUAAAUGGACAUCUUGCAUACAACAGUCAGUUUUGUGAGGCUUUAUAUUGGUUCGCAGAGAGAAUGAAGUCAUGCUCUUCUCAACUUCCAAUGCACUCUCUUUGCUGUGGGCAAGGGCACAUUAGGCUUCAACCGUUGGGGAAAAUAAUGAUGGGUCUUCACUUCAUGAUCCCGACUGGAUUUGAUAAUAUUUACCUAUUUCGUGCCAUGUUAGAACCAUACUUGGAUUUCUUAAUAUUUACCUAUUUCACUUUUUGAAUGAAGGUAGAAUCCAUUCUACAUCUUAGUUGAUGUUUAUGUCUAUCCAUCAAAGGGUUCGAAGAAGUUGACAUAUUAA